rnacentral:lncRNA from 1 species
UAAACAUUGCUUCAUUUGUAAAUUUGAAACUAAACAAAUUUUCUACUCAUAUCUUGAGUUUAAUUCAUUUUCUUUUACAUUUUAUUAAAAAACUAAUAAAAAAAGAGUAGCACUUUUUAAAAGAAAUGUAACAUAAGAAAGGUAAAGGGCAAAUAUUAACCAUGUAAAAUGUUUAUAUUGCUUGCAAUUUAGGUGAAGCCAGCAUGUGUAAAGCAUUUUAAUGUAAAAUUGCUUAAUUUUGCUGAACUAAAUACAAGCAACAAAGUAAACGAAUAACAAAAAUAUGAACACCACACAAGGGUUAAAACAAAGGAAUAUUAGAGUGUGUGACCUUUUUUUAUUUGGUGGGAUAUUUUUUUUGGCCAGGCAGCGUAUUUUUAUUUUUUAAAUGAUUCAGUGCUCUUCUAUUGUUUUAUACAAAUAAACUGUUGCCUGAUUGUGAUGUGGAUUGACAAGACAUACAGUAAAUGACAUGCAAGCCAGGCCAAAUUCUAGACCGCCAGACAUUUAUGAUGUAAAUCAGCUGCUUUACUCUUCAGUCAGUAGUCUGAUAUUGAUGGAUGGAUGUUGUCUCCACAUCACCGCAGUAAUAUGUGGUUAACCAUUAAAAAAAUGAUUAUACAGAACCUUCUUUUUUAACCCGUCCCAAGCAGUGCUAGUCAUUCUCUCCACAACCUUUUUACAACCAUAUAAGAUACUACAGAUCACUAUGAGAUAGCUGGCAAUGGAAAUAUGCUGUCAGAAGCAAAACUGCAGCUUUUCUCCAUCAGAUCAAAAGAAAUUUGCAUCUGACAGGAAAUCUUGCAGUUACUAAGUUCAGACGAAAACACAGCCGAGAGUAAACAGGAACCCCAACAUUUCACUGACGUUUCUGCGACCCGAAAAAAGCCUUCCUGUAAAGAUGUGGCGCAUCGUAUAUACCAUCAGCAUUGCCUUCACCCUCACGAAAUACUCUGCAGCUGAUGAAACUCCAGAUACUCUGCAUUUACAGAAGUAUGCGCUCCUGGGAAGUACAGUCUCCCUCUCGCUUCAGGGACACACACAGGAUCUGACUGAUAUCAAGUGGAGAAAAGGAAAAUUAUUAGUUGCAAACAGCAAAUCAGUUAGACCAAAGUUUAUUCAAAAAUUUCAUCUGAAUGCCACCGAUAGCUCCUUAAUUAUUAAAAACCUAACUAUGAAUGACAGCGACCAUUAUCGAGCUGAAGCUGGAGAAUGGGAGAAGGCAAUCUUGGACUAUCAUCUAAUAGUUGAAAGAAUGGUCUCAAAGCCAAUCAUUGAAACCAAUCGCAACCAAACAGCAGUAAAUUCCACUGAUGACUGUCAGAUCUCAGUUAAAUGUUCUGUUGAUGAUGAAUCAGUGAUGUACGUCUGUGAGAACCGGAGCUGCACUUCCUCACAAACCCAAACCCAACAGACCAAAGUUAACAUCACUGUUGCUGUAACUGAUAGUAGAACUGUGGAGUGUACAGCCAGUAAUCAUGUGAGCACAAUGAAGACCUCAUUAGCCAUCGGUGACACCUGCUCUGAAAAAAUUCCUGCGGAAAACAAAUCAAGUUUCUCUUUGUAUUUGGCAAUUCUAAUAGGCUGCGUAAUAGUGGGCAUAAUAGUGGUCUGCUUACCAGUAAUUGUCAUUUCCAGAAAAAAGCCACAGCAGAAAGAUUCUCAUCCAGAAGCAGAAAUAACCACAGUGUACAGUGUAGUGAAUAAACCACGGAUUUCAACAGAUACCAGCGCUGUAAAUGAGACAGCAUCCACAGUCUAUGAUGUUCCCUCAAAACGGGCUGUGCCUCUCCAAAGUGCCAGCGUUCAAAUGCCACAGGAGACAAGAGAACAGCCCCUGGAGGGUCAACCCGUUACUGCAAACGCUGAAACAGAAGAGGAAUCAGCGAAUGAUCCACAGCUCACAGUUUACUGGAAACUGGGGCAGAAAUAACAUCUGAUUACAGUCUGAUAUAAAGCUCCGUUCUUCAUCUGCAUCAGUGAAAACCCUUAUUUUUGUAUAGUUUUAUGCGUAUUGAAGUGUUGUACUGUUUUUUUUUUCAACAAACUUUUUAUAUAUAUCAUGUCUAUAGUUAUAUAGGUUUAAACACACAUAAAAUUGACUUUUGGUGUAGUAAAAAAUGAGAAAAAGUACUUACCUUUAAUGAAUAGCACACCUCCGUUCUCCCACAGCAUUCCGAGAUCCAGAAAUCUGAACAGUCUGUCCAAACAUCCCAAUAGAUUCUUUUUUCCAUCAUUAUCCAGCCUCAAAGUAGCUCCACACCACCUGGCUGGAAUCCGUAGAGCCCUGACAUUUAAAACGAGGCAUUAAUAACUUAAAAAGUGCACAAAAAGCUUAUUAAAAACACUGUUUACAUCCCAUAAUGCUAGCUUCAGCUCUGUGUACCGCCAUCUUUGUACUGAUAAUGACAUAGACAUAUAUACAUAGACUUCGCAUAGUCUGGCUCCUGGCGCAGGCUGCUACGCUAGAAGGCAGGAUAUGUGGAAUCUAUGUAUAUGUCUGUCAUUAUCAGAUAUACAAAGAUGGUAGCAUUAUGGGAAAGCUAGCAUUAUGGGAUGUAAAACAGUGGUUUUAAACAUAGGUGUGCUAUUCAUUAAAUGUAAGUACUUUUUUUAUCAUGUUUUACUACACCAAACCUCUAUUAUAUACCGAAGUUCUCCUUUAAAGCAACAGUCUGUAUGUUUUGGAGAUUUAAAGGAUUUGGAGACCUCUCUGGUGAGAAUGUGUAAUUACACAGAACAUGUAGAAGAGUACUUUUAAUGCAAGCUAUAAUAAAUAUAUAAAUAUAUGUAUAAAACUUUGUAAA